AUCGCUGAAAGCAUCUAAGCGUGUAGCCCCCCUCAUGUUGAGAUUUCCCAUUUCUUCGGAUUGUAAGAUCCCUGAUAGAUGAUCAGGUAGAUUGGUUUGGAGUGGAAGUGUAGCGAUUCAUGGAGCGGACAAAUACUAAUCGAUCGAGGACUUUACCAAAA
rnacentral:rRNA from 1 species